rnacentral:lncRNA from 1 species
UGAUCUUUCAUUUCCCCACUCCAAUAUUCACCCACAUCUUUUCUUGCAUUGAUAGUGCCUGAAAACUGCAAAAUAAAAUUAGAAAAACGGAUUACUCCCAUCAAUUAAGAUAAACCAAACUUAUUUUCAUUAAUGGUGUUUAUGUAUACGUGUUCCUCUAUAUAUAUAUAUAUAUAUACACACACACGUAUCCCUUUAUUUACUCGCUACUGACACAAACUUUUACUUACCAAGAUAAGUGAGAAAAUAGAAAGGAAAGCAAAGAAGAAUUUCAUGUUUUAUGGUAAGAGAAGAAAUUAAAUGAUGGAUAGUGUUGUCCAAUAUCCUCACUAUUUAUAGCUAAAAUCAAAGAAAGCAUAAUUAUAAAUAAUUUACAUAUAAUACAUCUUGUUAUAAUAUGACAAAACAUAAUAUACAUAUACGGUAUGGGCCGAUGAAUAAAUUUAUCUUUUGUCCAUUAAUUAUUCCCUAAAACUUUAUUAAAAUUUCAUUCUAAUUACUAUUUAAUCUUUAUAUUAUAAUCAAUUCAUUUGACGUUACUUAUAUUAUAUGUUCAUUAGAUUGAAUAACCAUUCCCUUAAAAAUUUAGUUUUGAAGUCCUUUGUAUUGAUAGAAUUCUGGGAUGAAAUUUAAAGAUUUCAUAAACUUAUUAAAUUUAUUUGUUUGUUUUAUAAAAAAUUAUAUUACGGUGUGUAAAAUCGAUAAAUUUUAUUACUUUUUUCUAUAAUCAAAUUUAAAUCACUUAAUUUUAUUUUAAAAAAUAUGCUUUAAAUCUAUAAAUCAUGUUUUCCAACUAAAUGAUGAAAUGUAAAAUUCUAUUAAUUUCACAAUACACGUUUAUACAUUCCACGUUGUGAAAUUAAUAUAGAUAUUAUGUUCUAUUAUUCUAAAUGAUCAAUUUUUGGCCAGUGAUCUUAGGUUUAUUAAUAAAAAAAAAUUAAAAUCAAUUAGAUAUGAUUUGAUUGAUCUUUUCAGUUUUUAUAAGAACAUAGGUGAUCCUCUCAAUUAUAAGAUUUCUUAUUAUUUUAGUGAAUUAUGAAAGUUCUAACCUACAUAUUGGGCCUCUCGAAGGAAAAAAAAAAAAAAAAUCAAUAUUGUAUAAUUUUGGAGAAAAAAAAGAUACCCUUCUAUCUUGAACCGACAACCUUUUAAUUAGUAGUUAUCUUUUUCUGUCAUCUAUUUGUCAUUUGCUUUUUGUAUUGAGAAUAACAAUGAUUUUCUUAUUAAUCCAUUCAUAUUUUAUUAUGAAUUUCUGGUUUAAAUAAAUUUCAUAUAGGCUUCGAAAUAUAAAAUGAAUUAAAUUAACAAUCAGACAUGUUUUGAAAUGAUAGACGUGGUCUCUCUCUAAUUUUAUUUUUUUAGUUUUGUUUUUUUUGUUUGUUUUUUUGUUUUUCUUAAAAUUCUCAAAUAUGUGUCUAUUUAAUACAAAUCAGAUAUAUUUAUUUAAAGAAAUUUUGGACAUAUACAUUCUCGGAUUUAUUUGUUUUUAUGAGAUUUUUUGUUUUAUUUAUUUAUUUAUUUUUAAGAUUAUUGUCACAACUUUCAUGGUGACGGAGGAUUGUCAAAUCAAACCUAUUAAAAGACUAUAGAAUUCAAUAAUAGUUGUAAAUCGCUAUCAAGUGGAGUGUUUAUCGACGGAUGACAUAAGUCUAUUGCUCUUUCAUCUUGAAUAAAUCUCUCAAAUCAAGUUGAAGUUUUUUUUUUUUUUUUUUUUUUUUUUUUUUAUUAUUUGUACAAGUAGUUUAUAGUUAGGCUCCCUACAGUGAUUUCAUAUUUGUAUGUUUCAUUUUAAUGAUUUUUUUUUUCUAAAAGAAAAAAUAGCAUAGCUCCCUUCCCGUUGCUACCAAAUAAAAUAUAGCAAAAUCAUUUAUUUAAUAAUAAAAAAUAUUAACGAUAGUACCCCUUCCAUUUUAUCAAAAAAAUAAAAAUCUUAGCUGGACAUAAUAAUACAUAAAUAAAUAUAAUGUUAGGUUGGAUAUGAUGAGUCGAUUCCACUUCAAACAUGUACAACGUUUUGCCCAUCGAAAUCAUGUAAAAGAUAAUUGUCAUUUGCUUCAUUAAUUGUUUGGUAGCAUGCAAAAAAUCAUAUCUUGCUUUGCUCUUAUUAUUAUUUUAUACUCUCAUUAUUAGCUUUCAUUUUCAUCUUUUAUUAUUUUAUUUUAUUUAGUAGCUUCAAGAAAACUAUUUUACUUAUUAUUAUUUUUUUAUUUUAAAAAUCAAUGUUUUUUUCGGAACCUAAGAGAUCAUGAUUUAGAUCCCAAUUAACUAAAUGUUAAUUAGUGUAUCAUCCGAAGAAAGUAAUAUCAUAUUACUCUUUUGAUGUCUCUAUGGAUUAAAUAUUUGAAGAACAUACUUCAAUUUUUUUUUUUUUUUAAUUCUAUUCUUAAUCUCACAAUGAUAACAACUUUUUAUCCUUUUCUGUUUGGGCUGAUUUUUGCUCUAUUCUUAUUCAUAAAUUAAAUUUCGUUACAUAAAUUAUAUUUGAGCCUGUAAAUUAUUUUUUACCAAAGACUUGAAUUAAUUCAAAAUGCAUGCCCCUUAUUUUUCUAUUCAAUAUUGACUAUUCAAUAUUGUCAUUUUAGAAAGUAUUCAAGAAAAACCUUCCUCGCUCCAUUCCAAAAAAAUAAUCCAUCUUUUCAUUUUGGUUUGUUUCAAAAUAUAAUUCUUUUAUUUUUUAUACAUUGUAGUUAAUCUUUAAAUUAUGGAUUAUGCCUUUAUUAAAUUUUUUCUUUUUUUUUAAUAAUUUUCAUUAAUUCUUUCCUUUUUUUUUUUUUCAAAUCAAUCUUACUUUAAAUUCAUUUGUUAUUUAAUAAAUAAUUUUAUUCUUCUAUCUUCUUGAAAUUUAAAAAGUUGUGAACAUUGGUCACUCUCAUUAAUUGCAAUUUAUAUUUUUCAUUUUAUAGAUCAAUGUAGUUUUUAUUAUUUCAAUAUAAUAAUUGCUCAUGUGUUAUUUAAGAUGAAUAUAAUAGGUCACUGUUAAUAACAAAAUUGUUCACUAAUCAUAAUAACUUAUAUUUAUUAAUCUAAGUGAAAAAAGAAAAUUAGAAAAGAAAGUUGGCUAUCUUUUUGAGACAGAGAGGGUAUAUAUCUAUAUGUAUUAUAUAAUCCGAUCGAUAUACCUAUCAAAACUGAAUUCCUCCCUGAAUAUUUUAAAAAUGUACAUUACAUAUUUAAGAAUUAUCUUCAUUAUUCAUCAAACUUAAUUUUAAAAUUAUAGCAAACAAAUACAUAAAGAGUACACAUUUAUUGGCAACAAUCCAAAAAAGUUACACACAAACCACAAACCUAAUUAUUAAAGACCUUACAUUACAAGAACAACAUACAACUUUAUUAUUGAUCACCAUAGGCAAGCAAAGGGACAUAAACAAGAUUAUCUCCUUUAAAGAAAUGACAAACAGGAAUAGUUCCAGGUUUAAUUCCAAGCACACGAAACGAUGCAUGAUUAUGACUCCAUUGAGAAGUAUCCAUAUGACAAACAGCAACAGCUUCUACUCUUCCUCCAUUUUCACCUUUCAGUGAAAGCACAAACACUUUAUUCUCAGUCUGUUGGCUAUGGCAAUAGAACACCGUAUAUGCAUACGGCAUCGUAUGGCAAGCCACCAUCUUUGGAACGGGUAUCUCCUUAGGUUCUUGCAUUAUUGUAUAAUUAUCUAAAUGGGUCUUUGAUUUUAUAAGAUGUGUGGUUGUUAAAAUCUUGAAUUUUGUCUCUAAUCCAAAAGUUUCGCGUACAAAAUCAACCAUCGACUCUAAAGAAGUAGCACAAAUUUUUGUUUCUCCUUUGAUGGGUUUAAGUUCACAUUCUUUUAGAGUAUUUUCCAUGGCUAUGGCUUGAGGAGAGUUUGGAGAGAUGGAAAAUAAUUUAAGGAGGUAAGGAAAGUCUUUGUAUGAAAAAGGAAUGGAAUCUGCUUCUGCUUUAUGUAACAUAGGUGGAGUAGAUGAAGAAUCUUUCAUAGGAAAAUAAAUCGGCAUUUUCUUGCCUAUUUUGAGAUCAUCUAAAGUGAAAAAGAUCAUCAUUGAUGGAUCCAAGUGAUCCAUAUGAGAUGAUGAUGGACUUGCCUGUGCAUGAUCACUCGGAAGUCUCAAAACAUUGUUGCUCUUAGUUAUCAUCUCUCUUGCUCCCUCACUUCCAUGAGAACUCUGCAAAUUAUUUUAAUGAGCUAUUAAUGUAUUAUAAAUGGAAGUAAUGAAUUAAUUAUGCAGUGAAGCGUUUAAAUAGAUUUAAUUACCAGAACUAGAAGAAGAUGAAGGAGGAAGAUCUUGAUUGGAAAAUGUAUGCCCAUGGUUCUUUGAUCCUUUUUGCUCAGUGUAUUAUCUGUUCAAAUUUAGUGCUUCUUCUUCUACUUGAAAGAGAGAAACUUGAGAAAGGUCGACUAGAUCUUUUUCUCUCUCAUACAUUAUUUAUUUAUAAUUGAGAAACUUCUCAAUCAUAUUUUAUUAACGGCGGUGAUAAUUUCGUUUUUUUAUAAAAAAGUUAUUUCUAAAUUUCCAUAUAUAUAACCUUAAGUUUUUCUUGAAUUUCUAAAUAUAUUAGAUUUUGUUAUAUGUUAUUGAUAUUUUUCAAAAUUUUAAAGACAAAUCUUAUAAAGAGCAAGGAAUAAAUGUGAGAGUUCCACAAAACAGUUAUUACAUUUCUUUUUAUUCUAUUCUGCAAAUCAAAUAAGGCUUUAAGAUAGUUGAUACUGAGUUUGUGCUUUGUUCUUAUUCCAUCCAUUUGGAUUUUGUACACUCAAACAUAAUGUUUCUUUUUUCUUUUUUUAAAUUUCUCAUAUGUUAUGUAUAUAUUUAAAGAAAAAAAAAGGUAUAAUACUGACAAAUUGGUUUAGCUCUAAAGUAAUGUAAAUUCUCAAUAAUUAAGUUUUUCAUUUUUUUAAAAUUAUGGGUAUCUCUAUUUCAUUAAUUAAUGUUAUAGUGACAUGUAAACUGAAAUUUAAUUAUCUAAUUCUCACUGUAUAUAAAAUGUGAGAAACGAUUAACCAAUGAUAAAUAUAUAGUUAAUAAUACAAUGAUAGAUUAAUUAAUAUUGACAUAGUACAUAUACAAAUAGUAUUUUAUUAAUGAAAAAUGUAUAAAAAAUAGACAGAAAUAUAUAACAGUGUAACAUACGCAAAAAACAUAGAGAUAAAAAAAUUAUGUAUUUCUGAAAAUACAUGGAGCAAAUUUGUAUUUUAUGGCAUAAAAGCAUAAAUUUCCCAACAAUGUAUGUAUAAUACUCUUAUAUGUGUUUUUUUUUUUGCAAGUAGGCAAAAGGCCAAAGUUAAUAAUUAGACUCUUUUGUCAUUGUACAACUAAUGGAUUUUGGUAUCAGGCCCAUCAUCAGGUUUUUUUUUUUUUUUUUUUUUUUUUUUUAAUUUAUUUGUCAUCUAUAUCUUUUUUUCACAUCUGAUCCAUUACAAUUUUGAAUAUAUUCAAUAUUGGUUUAUUAUGCAAAAUAAACUAAUUAUAAGCCAAAUGCAUAAAUAUAUUCCUCCAUACUAAAAAAAGAUUUACACCUCAUAUUUUACAAAGAUUGUUUUACGCCUAAAAUUAUAAAUUUUAAUAAUAUUGUACAUAAUUAUACAUUAGUAAUAAUAGGUUUUUGGUACUUUUCGAUUUUGUAUACAGAAUAUUAAUCUGAAGUAUGAUUAUUACAAUUUUAGAAUAAUAAUUUUAAUAUUUUUCAACUAUUAAAUAAGUAUUCAAUUGAUCAAACUUUACAAGUUAGAAUGUCCAAUCAAAAAAUGCUGUAAAUUAAAGUGCUUAAUAGGUAUAAUUUUAUAAAUUAAAGUGUUCUAAAGAUAAAAUUAAAAUUUAAAAGUUUGAAAUUUUUUUUAUAUAAAGUUCAUUUAGCCUUAAUUAAAUAAUCAUACAUCAGUAAGAAUUGAAUUUGAGAUAUUGACUCAAUCACUUGGCUAACAGGCAUUUAGUUGAACUGUUUGUACCAACUGAUAUCGGAUGUUUAUAAUUGCUAGUUGGUGUUGAUAGUUAUUAAUUGAGAAUGUAUAAUUUUUUUAUAUUACUCUCAUAGACAAUAUAUGUUAUUUUUUUAAGGUAAAUAUAUUAUUUUUUUAUUUUAACAAAAUCGUACAUCUGUGCAUUGCUCAGAUUAUAGUAUAAUCUUUUAGUGAAAAUAUUAAAUACUUUAUUUAUUAAUAAUUUAUGAUAUAAUUACUCUCCUAAAAAAUAAUUUAUUUUGUCAUUCUAGCAUGGUAACCUUGCAUCUUUGCGGAUUUAAAUGAUAAUCUAGUUCUUUGCAUUGAAACCCAAAAUAAUCACGUGAAAGGAUAAAAAAAAAAAAAAAAAAAUUUUUUGAAAAGGUUGUUUGCUUGGGGAUUUCAUUUCCCUGUCACUGUAUUCUAUUUUUGCUUUUGGUUUUCAGUAUUUCAUACCCUUUUUUGGUUUGUAAAUUUGGUUUAUUGUUGUAGAUCAACAUUUUCUUUUUCUGGUUGAAAAUUGAUGAAAUCUAUGUGUUUCUCCAAUUAUUACAUGGUUAGCAAUAGCAACUUAGCAAACAGAGCAAUCCAUGUUAGUAAAUAAUUAGCUAGCUUUCUAAAUAUUUCAAGAAUAAAAUGAUAUAUAUUUCAAUAUUUAUUUUGCAUUCCCAAUUCUAAAGAUAAAACUAAAGUGAUGCAAACAUAUAUAGAAACAUAUGAUGCAAGAGAAACUUCUUACAUAGCUUAAACACACAAAGUCCGUUAUUCAAGUACAUCACAAAUCAUAUUCUAAUUUGAAAUGCAACAAACAUAAUGGUUCUCUCAUGAGGGAAAUGCAAUAGCUUGUCUUCAUUAAUUACUCUGGUAAACUAAAACGUCUGGCCCAUCAUUGGAAAAUGUCUUCUUUGCUUUGAGAGCUACAUCAUCAUGGUAAAUCGAACCGUCAUUUUUUGUCUCAAAAUAUGGCGUUUGUUCUUUAAGUGUAACAUCAUUGUGAUAUAUAGAUAGAUCAAGCCUCGGAUCAAACUCCUUUUUGAGACCUGCAUCAUUAUGGUGAUUUGUAAAAUCAUGUUUUGUCUCAAAAUAUAGCUUAUGUGCUUCAAGAUUGGCAUGGUUGUGGUUUUCAGUUGUGCGACAAUCGGCUUUCUCUUUUGUGGAGGUAGAAGCUUCAACGAGUGCUUGUAAUGCUUCUGGCAGUGGCUGAUCUUUCAUUUCCCUACUCCAAUAUUCACCCACAUCUUUUCUUGCAUUGACAGUGCUUGAGAACUGCAAAAUAAAAAUAAUAAAACUCACUCGUCAGUUUAUUUAAGAAAAAUAAAACUUAUAUCAUUAAUGGGUUUCAAUUAGCUAAUCUUCAUUGAUCCAUUAAUGUAUUUAAACACACAUACACAUUAAGAACAGACUUUUUUCUUUUUUUUUUUUUUUUUUUUUGAAAUUUCAUUACUAAUUAACAGACUAUUACUAACCAAGAUAAGUAAGAAGAUAGAGAGGAAAGCAAAAAGCAAUUUCAUCUUUUUUGCAGAGAAGAAAUUAGACAAUGUGUAGUGUUAUUUGAGUGGAUAUCCGUCGUCCCUGAUAUCGUCACUAUUUAUAGCCAAAAUCAAAGAAUGCAAAAAUAUAAAGAAAUUAUUAUGUAAGGUGCAAAUAAGGUGACCUCUCAUUUCAUAUUGUCCUUCUUGUCGUAAUACGACAAAUAAAUAUCAUAAUCUUGGGAGGUACCCAAAUCGUGUAUUAGGUACCCAAAUAACAUACGACGUAAUUACUAUAUGUAAUCUCUAGGUUUUAUUCAAAUAUACUAAUAAAACUUUAGUUUCUAAAAUUAUACUACGAAGUCUUUACAUUAUAAUUUCGUUACACUAUAGAGUCUAAUUAUUAGUUUUUUCGUUAAGUGACUGUAAAAUAUUAAAAGCACCCCUAAACAUAAUUAGUAUAUAAUCCUUACUAUUAGGUGAAAUACACUAAUAAAGACAUUAUUUUUCAUACCUUUACAUUAUUUAAUCCCUAUAUAUAGUAAUUGUGUUUAGGGUUAUUUUUAAUAUUCCACAACAAUUUAAUAAAAAAAAAACUAACCGCUGGACCUUAUAGUAUAAUAGAAUUAUAAUGCUGAGAUUAAAUAGUGUAAUUUUAAAAAUGAAAGUCUUUACUAAUGUAUUUGAUAUAAACCUAGGAACUAUAUAGUAAUUAACACAUAACAUAAUCUUAGGCUAAUUACUGUUUAGUCUUAUAUUAUAAUCAAAUAUAUAAAUUAGGAAUUUAGUUUUUUCAAAAUUCUAUUUUUUUUUCCUACCCUAAAACUUUUGCGAGUACAAGAUUAGUACAUUAUGAAUACUGGAAUAGAUUUGAGGUCAUUAAAAAGUACAAUUUUAUAAAUUAAAGUAUUCUAACAGGUAGAAGUGAACUUUAAAGGUUUGAAAUAUAUAUAUAUAUAUAUAUUUAAACAUCAGUAAAAAUUGAAUUUAAGAUAUUUUGAUUCCAAAACUCAACGCUUUAAUCACUUGGCUAAAAUACAUUUAGUUUAACUGUUUGUACUUGCUGAUAUCGGUUGUUUAUAAUUGCUAGUUCGUGGCUGAUAGUUAUUAAUUGAUAAUGUAUAGUUUUUUUUAUAUUACUCUCAUAUACAAUAUAUGUUAUUUUUUAAGGUAAAUAUAUUAUUUUUUUUAUUUUAACAAAAUCAUACACCUGUGCAUUGCUCAAAUUAUAGUAUAGUCUUUUAUUGAAAAUAUUAAAUACUUUAUUUAUUAAUAAUUUAUGAUAUAAUUACACUCCUAAAAAAUAAUUUAUUUUGUCAUUCUAGCAUGGUAACUUUGCAUCUUUGCGGAUUUAAAUGAUAAUCUAGUUCUUUGCAUUUAACCCCAAAAUAAUCACAUGAAAAGGAAAAAAAAAAAAAAAAUCUUUUGAAAAGGUUGUUUGCUUGUGGAUUUCAUUUCCCUCUGUAUUCUAUUUUUGCUUUUGGUUUUCAGUAUUUCAUACCCUUUUUUGGUUUGUAAAUUUGGUUUAUUGUUGUAGAUCAACAUUUUCUUUUUCUGGUUGAAAAUUGAUGAAAUCUAUGUGUUUCUCCAAUAUUACAUGGUUAGCAAUAGCAACUUAGCAUACAGAGCAAUCCAUGUUAGUAAAUAAUUAGCUAGCUUUCUAAAUAUUUCAAGAAUAAAAUCAUAUAUUUUCAAUAUUUAUUUUGCAUUCCCAAUUCUAAAGAUACAACUAAAGUGAUGCAAACAUAUAUAGAAACAUAUGAUGCAAGAGAAACUGCUUACAUAGCUUCAACACACGAAGUCCGUUAUUCAAGUACAUCACAAAUCAUAUUCUAAUUUGAAAUGCAACAAACAUAAUGGUUCUCUCAUGAGGGAAAUGCAAUAGCUUGUCUUUAUUAAUUACUCUGGUAAAUUAACAUGUCUGGCCUAUCAUUGGAAAAUGUCUUCUUUGCUUUGAGAGCUACAUCAUCAUGGUAAAUUGAAGCGUCAUUUUUUGUCUCAAAAUAUGGCGUUUGUUCUUUGAGUGUGACAUCAUUUUGAUAUAUAGACAGAUCAAGCCUCGGAUCAAACUCCUUUUUGAGACCUGCAUCAUUAUGGUGAUUUGUAAAAUCAUUUUUUGUCUCAAAAUAUAGCUUAUGUGCUUUAAGUGUGGCAUGGUUGUGGUUUUCAGUUGUGCGAAAAUCGGCUUUGUCUUUUGUGGAGGUAGAAGCUUCAACAAGUGCUUGUAAUGCUUCUGGCGGUGGCUGAUCUUUCAUUUCCCUACUCCAAUAUUCACCCACAUCUUUUCUUGCAUUGACAGUGCUUGAG